rnacentral:tRNA from 5 species
CCUCCUAUAGUUCAAUAGAUAGAACAUCCCCGUCCUAAGGGGAAGAUGUGGGUGCAAUUCCUGCUAGGGGGA